rnacentral:tRNA from 1 species
GGAGGGAUCGCAUAGUGGCCCAGUGCAAUGGUUUGCUAAACCAUGCCGGCUUGUCCGGCUCGUGGGUUCGAAUCCCACUCCCUCCGCCA